rnacentral:rRNA from 1 species
GACGAACGCUGGCGGCGUGCUUAACACAUGCAAGUCGAACGAAGAGCGACGGAAGCUUGCUUCUAUCAAUCUUAGUGGCGAACGGGUGAGUAACGCGUAAUCAACCUGCCCUUCAGAGGGGGACAACAGUUGGAAACGACUGCUAAUACCGCAUACGAUCUAACCUCGGCAUCGAGGAUAGAUGAAGGGUGGCCUCUACAUGUAAGCUAUCACUGAAGGAGGGGAUUGCGUCUGAUUAGCUAGUUGGAGGGGUAACGGCCCACCAAGGCGAUGAUCAGUAGCCGGUCUGAGAGGAUGAACGGCCACAUUGGGACUGAGACACGGCCCAGACUCCUACGGGAGGCAGCAGUGGGGAAGCUUCCGCAAUGGACGAAAGUCUGACGGAGCAACGCCGCGUGAGUGAUGACGGCCUUCGGGUUGUAAAGCUCUGUUAAUCGGGACGAAAGGCCUUCUUGCGAAUAGUGAGAAGGAUUGACGGUACCGGAAUAGAAAGCCACGGCUAACUACGUG